AGUCUGUGGUGGCUGACUGUUUAGCCUUCAUUCAAACCUUUUCCUGCCACCGUGGAUUCUAUUUAUAGCCGUCUCAUAAAAGUGUGAAGCCUUGGCUAUGUAUGAAGCCUCCGCUAUGCUGACAAAGCGGUCUUGCCUCCAACUCAUUGCAAUUUGAACCCUCUGGACUUGAACUCCAUUGAAAACCUGUGGCUUGAAUUGAAGAGGGCAGUCCAUCAGUGCAGACAUCCAAGAUGUACCACCAUAUUUGACAACCACCACAUCCUUCCACAACCUAACCUUCCUACCUGCCUUUCAAGCUCCAACUCCUAAACCUUAAUCAACAUCCAUUCCAAACCCUUCCC
rnacentral:lncRNA from 1 species